GUGUCAGCCGCCGCGGUAAGACAGAGGGUGCAAACGUUGCUCGGAAUUACUGGGCGUAAAGCGCGUGUAGGCGGUUCCGCAAGUCGGGUGUGAAAGCCCAGGGCUCAACCCUGGAAGUGCACUUGAUACUACGGAGCUUGAGUACUGAAGAGGAGAGCGGAAUUCCCGGUGUAGAGGUGAAAUUCGUAGAUAUCGGGAGGAACACCAGUGGCGAAGGCGGCUCUCUGGGCAGAUACUGACGCUGAGACGCGAAAGCAUGGGGAGCAAACAGGAUUAGAUACCCUGGUAGUCCAUGCUGUAAACGAUGAGAACUGGGUGUUGUGGGUAUUGACCCCCGCGGUGCCGAAGCCAACGCGUUAAGUUCUCCGCCUGGGAAGUACGGCCGCAAGGCUAAA
rnacentral:rRNA from 1 species